UGUGGCUCAGUGUUAGAGCACUUGCCUAGCACGUGUGAGGCCCUGGGUUCAAUUCUCAGCA
rnacentral:tRNA from 1 species